UGAAUGACAUCUGAUGUUCAUUGUCUACAAUCACAUGCUGAGGGUGGCCAGUGAGAAGCUCUGUCACCUGGAUAGGGACCUCAGCAGACAGCUGCCCAGGACACCUAUGCGAACAUGGACGAGGAGGCCGCUAUUGGGAAAGACUUCUUCCAGUCUCCAAGGGGUGAUUCAAGGGGACAGGCGAUCGUCACUUCUGGAAGAUUUGUGCUCCAGAGCAGCGUCACGUGACUCCAGGUGGCAGGGAAAGAACUGGGAAGAGUUAGUCCUCGGGAGCUACCGGCCUGAGGUUCUCAUAAACAUCAAGGGACAACCUGUACCUUCUUAGCCUCCUCCAUGGCAAAUUUCCUUUAUCUUCAGAAUGAGAGAAUGAAAUCAACGUACAGAAAAACAAACUGAAGCUGGACAACGAUUCUUGGUGACAACACAAUCCCUGACUGCAGUUGCCCUGAACCUGCUCUGCACCUACCUUUCCUCGGGUUUUUGAAAAUUCCAGGAAGAUGCCUAACUAGCUUGGUUGGACGAUAGUCUUUGGAAACUAGGAUAGCAUUGACUAAUGCUGCAAUGAAGGACAAUCCGGUGCACGG